ACAUGCAAGUCGAGCGGAGCGAGGUAUGCUUGCUCCUGUAGCUUAGCGGCGGACGGGUGAGUAAUGCUUAGGAAUCUGCCUAUUAGUGGGGGACAACRUUCCGAAAGGGAYGCUAAUACCGCAUACGUCCUACGGGGGAAAGCAGGGGAUCUUCUGACCUUGCGCUAAUAGAUGAGCCUAAGUCGGAUUAGCUAGUUGGUGGGGUAAAGGCCUACCAAGGCGACGAUCUGUAGCGGGUCUGAGAGGAUGAUCCGCCACACUGGGACUGAGACACGGCCCAGACUCCUACGGGAGGCAGCAGUGGGGAAUAUUGGACAAUGGGGGGAACCCUGAUCCAGCCAUGCCGCGUGUGUGAAGAAGGCCUUUUGGUUGUAAAGCACUUUAAGCGAGGAGGAGGCGCUCUAGGMUAAUACCCUAGAUGCGUGGACGUUACUCGCAGAAUAAGCACCGGCUAACUCUGUGCCAGCAGCCGCGGUAAUACAGAGGGUGCGAGCGUUAAUCGGAUUUACUGGGCGUAAAGCGCGCGUAGGUGGCUAAUUAAGUCAAAUGUGAAAUCCCCGAGCUUAACUUGGGAAUUGCAUUCGAUACUGGUUAGCUAGAGUAUGGGAGAGGAUGGUAGAAUUCCAGGUGUAGCGGUGAAAUGCGUAGAGAUCUGGAGGAAUACCGAUGGCGAAGGCAGCCAUCUGGCCUAAUACUGACACUGAGGUGCGAAAGCAUGGGGAGCAAACAGGAUUAGAUACCCUGGUAGUCCAUGCCGUAAACGAUGUCUACUAGCCGUUGGGGCCUUUGAGGCUUUAGUGGCGCAGCUAACGCGAUAAGUAGACCGCCUGGGGAGUACGGUCGCAAGACUAAAACUCAAAUGAAUUGACGGGGGCCGGCACAAGCGGUGGAGCAUGUGGUUUAAUUCGAUGCAACGCGAAGAACCUUACCUGGCCUUGACAUACAGAGAACUUUCCAGAGAUGGAUUGGUGCCUUCGGGAACUCUGAUACAGG
rnacentral:rRNA from 1 species